rnacentral:misc_RNA from 1 species
CGCUGCUCAGGUUCCUGCAUCUCCUGAAUUUCUUCAGAAGUUGUGCUGCAAGUACAGGUUCUCUUGUGGUGAAGCUGGAGCGAUUUCUUCCUCCAGUGACCGCAGUCCGUCACCUAUGCUGCUCCCGACGUUCCUGCCGUCUGUGGCCCUUCGACCAACGAUGUCAGCUUCGGAUGCAGAUGAUUUCCUCCUCUGUGAUGAGGUCACGCUAGGAAAAGUUAUCCAGGAAGGUGCCCUGUACCCGAUCCCCUGGUCCUCCCCGUCAGCAAGCUCGUUCUCUGAGCAGGAGUGGUUAGAGGACAUCUGUGACACCUUGUGCAUGCGGCUGCUUCCAAGAACAACCUCGGUCGGUAGAAUGGGCUGCUCGAUGCAGGGGCUGCCCAUCAGCAGUGCAAGGGCGUGCUCUAGAGCUGUCGUCACCUUAUCCAUGGAAGGCCGAUCUUUACCUCGCAUUCUGA